UACAGAGGUCCCAAGCGUUGUUCGGAUUCACUGGGCGUAAAGGGUGCGCAGGCGGUUUGUCGCGUCUGCCGUGAAAGUCCGGGGCUCAACUCCGGAUCUGCGGUGGGUACGGGCAGACUAGAGUGAUGUAGGGGAGACUGGAAUUCCCAGUGUAGAGGUGAAAUUCGUAGAUAUUGGGAAGAACACCGGUGGCGAAGGCGGCUCUCUGGACCGAUACUGACGCUGAGGCGCGAAAGCGUGGGGAGCAACAGG
rnacentral:rRNA from 1 species